GUUGGGUAGGGGAGCGUUCUGUAAGCCUGUGAAGGUGUGUCGUGAGGCAUGCUGGAGGUAUCAGAAGUGCGAAUGCUGACAUAAGUAACGAUAAAGCGGGUGAAAAGCCCGCUCGCCGGAAGACCAAGGGUUCCUGUCCAACGUUAAUCGGGGCAGGGUGAGUCGACCCCUAAGGCGAGGCCGAAAGGCGUAGUCGAUGGGAAACGGGUUAAUAUUCCCGUACUUGGUGUUACUGCGAAGGGGGGACGGAGAAGGCUAUGUUGGCCGGGCGACGGUUGUCCCGGUUUAAGCGUGUAGGUGUGUGUUCCAGGUAAAUCCGGUUCACUUUAACACUGAGGCGUGAUGACGAGGCACUACGGUGCUGAAGCAACAAAUGCCCUGCUUCCAGGAAAAGCCUCUAAGCAUCAGGUAACAUCAAAUCGUACCCCAAACCGACACAGGUGGUCAGGUAGAGAAUACCAAGGCGCUUGAGAGAACUCGGGUGAAGGAACUAGGCAAAAUGGUGCCGUAACUUCGGGAGAAGGCACGCUGACACGUAGGUGAAGUGAUUUACUCAUGGAGCUGAAGUCAGUCGAAGAUACCAGCUGGCUGCAACUGUUUAUUAAAAACACAGCACUGUGCAAACACGAAAGUGGACGUAUACGGUGUGACGCCUGCCCGGUGCCGGAAGGUUAAUUGAUGGGGUCAGCGCAAGCGAAGCUCCUGAUCGAAGCCCCGGUAAACGGCGGCCGUAACUAUAACGGUCCUAAGGUAGCGAAAUUCCUUGUCGGGUAAGUUCCGACCUGCACGAAUGGCGUAAUGAUGGCCAGGCUGUCUCCACCCGAGACUCAGUGAAAUUGAACUCGCUGUGAAGAUGCAGUGUACCCGCGGCAAGACGGAAAGACCCCGUGAACCUUUACUAUAGCUUGACACUGAACAUUGAGCCUUGAUGUGUAG
rnacentral:rRNA from 1 species